GGAAGGUAUGACACGUACUGC
rnacentral:siRNA from 1 species